AGCCAUAAGGUUCUGGAUUUAGAGUCAAGAUUAGAAGAUGUUACUGGGAAGAUGCUGGUUAGCUAGAAUUCACAAAACAGUAGUAAUUAAGACCAGACAGGCAUAUGGAAGUGAAAUCUUCUAGGGAAUGUUUUCUGAGAGCACAAAUUAUCUGUGUUCCAGAAAUAGCCAGGUUUGUACCUUGUGCUUUAGCUGGAUUUGAUAAUGCGUAAGAAUCAAUCACCCAGGUCAUACUGGUUUUGAAGGCAUUAUGGGACCAGGAAGAGCGGCUGAGGCUUGGGAGUAUAAGAGGUCAGUACUGGCCAUUGGUGCAGCCUUGAUUGCAGUGAAAUGCCUAGGACUAAAAGGGUCAUGCAAAGAAGUUGAGGUUGGGCAUCUUGAAGAGGGGCUGCUGGUGAAGCCUAGUUCCAUCAGAAGUCCUCUGCAAAUUGGACAUGCCAGUACCUUAUGAUGACAAUCAAGAACAGAAGCAGGAGCAGUGGAGUGGCGUCAACCACUGCCUAGAGCGCUACAGAGGGCAAAGCAGCAGAAGUGACCCAGGGCCUUUGGAGGUGUCCAGAAGAUCCUGUGUGGAUUCUAGACAUUGGAACAAGAAGCUGUGAAGUUGAAAUUGUCUUGGAUACCCAAAGUUGCCAGAAAGGUAAUGUACAGGAGCACAGAAACAUGAAAACAUCAUUCCUCACAGUGAUGCGUGUCCUCUGUUGUAUUCCCAAGGGUUUUCAUCACUGACUUGACCUCCUUGAGAUGAUUGCCUGGGCUACUUCUUUCUCUGGAGAGUGGUGCUACUCUUUGCUACCAGAAACAUACAUUAAAUCUCCUGAUGAUUAAAACUUUCGACAAAA
rnacentral:lncRNA from 1 species